UACGUAGGCAGCGAGCGUUGUUCGGAAUUACUGGGCGUAAAGAGUGUGUAGGCGGUGCUCUAAGUUUGGUGUGAAAUCUCCCGGCUCAACUGGGAGGGUGCAUCGAAAACUGGAGUGCUCGAGGGUGGGAGAGGUAAGCGGAAUUCCUGGUGUAACGGUGAAAUGCGUAGAUAUCAGGAGGAACACCUGUGGUGUAGACAGCUUACUGGACCACUUCUGACGCUGAGGAGCGAAAGCGUGGGGAGCGAACAGG
rnacentral:rRNA from 1 species